AUACUGACACUGAGGAGCGAAAGUCUGGGGAGCGAACAGGAUUAGAUACCCUGGUAGUCCAGACCGUAAACGGUGGGCACUAGUUGUGGGGACCUUCCACGGUUUCUGCGACGCAGCUAACGCAUUAAGUGCCCCGCCUGGGGAGUACGAUCGCAAGAUUAAAACUCAAAGGAAUUGACGGGGCCCCGCACAAGCAGCGGAGCAUGCGGCUUAAUUCGACGCAACGCGAAGAACCUUACCAAGGCUUGACAUAUAGGGAAAAGUGGCAGAGAUGUCAUGUCCGCAAGGGCCCUAUACAGGUGGUGCAUGGUUGUCGUCAGCUCGUGUCGUGAGAUGUUGGGUUAAGUCCCGCAACGAGCGCAACCCUCGUUCUGUGUUGCCAGCAUUUAGUUGGGGACUCACAGGAGACUGCCGGGGUUAACUCGGAGGAAGGUGGGGAUGACGUCAAAUCAUCAUGCCCCUUAUGUCUUGGGCUGCACGCAUGCUACAAUGGCCGGUACAGAGGGCUGCAAUACCGUAAGGUGGAGCGAAUCCCAAAAAGCCGGUCUCAGUUCGGAUUGAGGUCUGCAACUCGACCUCAUGAAGUUGGAGUUGCUAGUAAUCGUAGAUCAGCAACGCUACGGUGAAUACGUUC
rnacentral:rRNA from 1 species